UCUGAGAAGAGUCAAAAGACACUUUUGUCAGGCUGCUAGACCCUCCGGGAAAGGGAGAAGGCAAAGAUGUGUGCUAUAUAAAACAGAAAGUGGAUCAUUAGUGUCCAUGGAUCUAGUAAUCACAGAUUUGAGUAUUUGAUAGUAGCCUUUAGGGAUAGAGAUAGAGAAUAGCAACAGAUUUAACUUUCCUGAAUCAGAAAUACGAAUUGUUUGUCCUGCAAGUCACAUGGGAACAAGAAUGAAAAUCUCCUUCACCUCCAGAGACAGGGUUUUGAACAGCAAAGAAGAUCACGCAUCAACAUUUAGAGUAGUGUUUUGCCUGUCUAAUAAGAAGUACUCAAUGCAUAUUCGUUGUAAUUAUUAUUAUUAUUACUAUUAUUAUCAUGGUGCAUCAAGGAAUGAAGGAUAACUCAUUGUCUAUGAAGGAAGUCAGUGAUAUGAAACAGGAGAAUUAAAUUGUUAUUAGACUGCAAUUAGUGUCACACCAAAGAAUUUGUACAUCAUUGAGAAGACCAUGAGGAACUGAACCAAUUUGAAAAUCAUAGUCACAGGAGGACUAUGGAAUCAAUCUUGAGCAAACCCAAUUUGAAGGAUUAGUAUCAUACCAUAGUUUUAGUUAAGUCAUUUGUCAUAUUCAUACACAAGGCAAUAAAAAUCUUCAAUAUUAAUAAAUAUC